rnacentral:rRNA from 1 species
GACGUAGGGUCCAAGCGUUGUCCGGAUUUACUGGGCGUAAAGAGCGUGUAGGCGGUCUGUUAAGUGUGAAGCUAAAUCUCCGGGCUCAACCCGGAACUAUUUCGCAUACUGGCAGACUUGAGGAAUGCAGAGGUAAGUGGAAUUCCUGGUGUAGCGGUGAAAUGCGUUGAUAUCAGGAGGAACACCCAUGGCGAAGGCAGCUUACUGGGCAUUAUCUGACGCUGAGACGCGAAAGCGUGGGUAGCAAACAGG